rnacentral:tRNA from 1 species
GCGAUUUUAGUUUAAUUAGAAUGUUGGUUUGUCUAACCGGAGGUGGUAAUUUAUCAAGUCGCU